CAAUAGCGUAUAUUAAAGUUGUUGCGGUGAAAAAGCUCGUAGUUGGAUUUCUGUUGAGAGCGACCGGUCCAUACCAUGUAUGCGUAUCUGGCUUGCUCUCGGCAUCCUCUCGAUAGACGUUACUGCGCUUGAUUGCGUGGUGCGGAUCUCGGGACUUUUACUUUGAGGAAAUUAGAGUGUUCACGGCAGGCUUUCGCCAGAAUACAUUAGCAUGGAAUAAUACUAUAGGAUCUUGGUUCUAUUUUGUUGGUUUCUAGAAUUGAGAUAAUGAUUAAUAGGGACAAUUGGGGGCAUUCGUAUCAACACGUCAGAGGUGGAAUUCUUGGAUUGUGUUGCGACGAACUACUGCGAAAGCAUUUGCCAAGGAUGUUUUCAUUGA
rnacentral:rRNA from 1 species